rnacentral:rRNA from 1 species
CCUACGGGAGGCAGCAGUGAGGAAUAUUGGUCAAUGGGCGUAAGCCUGAACCAGCCAAGUCGCGUGAGGGAUGAAGGUUCUAUGGAUCGUAAACCUCUUUUAUAAGGGAAUAAAGUGCGGGACGUGUCCCGUUUUGUAUGUACCUUAUGAAUAAGGAUCGGCUAACUCCGUGCCAGCAGCCGCGGUAAUACGGAGGAUCCGAGCGUUAUCCGGAUUUCUUGGGUUUAAAGGGUGCGUAGGCGGGUUUUUAAGUCAGCGGUGAAAGUCUGUGGCUCAACCGUAGAAUUGCCGUGGAAACUGGGAGGCUUGAGGAUGGUGGAGGAAGGCGGAAUGCGUGGGGUAGCGGUGAAAUGCUUAGAUAUAACGAAGAACCCCGAUUGCGAAGGCAGCUUGCCAAGCUGGGACUGACGCUGAUGCACGAAAGCGUGGGGAUCAAACAGGAUUAGAUACCCGAGUAGUC